CCCUUAGAUGUUCUGGGCCGCACGCGCGCUACAAUGAUGAAUUCAACGAGUUUAUAACCUUGGUUGAAAAGCCUGGGUAAUCUUUUGAACUUUCGUCGUGAUGGGGCUAGACCCUUGCAAUUAUUGGUCUCCAACGAGGAAUUCUUAGUAAACGCAAGUCAUCAGCUUGCAUUGAUUACGUCCCUGCCCUUUGUACACACCGCCCGUCGCACCUACCGAUUGAAUGGUCCGGUGAAAUCUUCGGAUUGAGACUUUGAUUUCUUCACGGAAAACGCUGUUUUAAAAAGUUGAUUAAACCUUACCAUUUAGAGGAAGGUGAAGUCGUAACA
rnacentral:rRNA from 1 species